rnacentral:rRNA from 1 species
CGGGUAGAGUAACACGUAAACAACCUGCCUUCAGGAUGGGGACAACAGACGGAAACGACUGCUAAUACCGAAUAAGUUCCAAGAGCCGCAUGGCCCAUGGAAGAAAAGGUGGCCUCUACCUGUAAGCUAUCGCCUGAAGGGGGGUUUGCGUCUGAUUAGUUGGUUGGAGGGGUAACGGCCCACCAAGGCGACGAUCAGUAGCCGGUCUGAGAGGAUGAACGGCCACACUGGAACUGAGACACGGUCCAGACUCCUACGGGAGGCAGCAUG